rnacentral:lncRNA from 1 species
AGGGCAACAGGAGUUUUUGUAAAAGCACAGUUUGUGCUGUUGUGCAGACAUCAUGGAGAAGCCGUGGAGAUGGCCACCAAGAGUUUUCCAAGGUAGAAAGCACUCUAAAAACUUGCUAGGUAUGAUCACUGCCAGAUCAGCAGCUCUGUGCCUGUCUGGUCCUGAGCUGUUGCUCACUGAAGCCUCACAUAUGUAUGCACAGUCCUUCACAACAGAUUCUUAUGUCCUGGCUCUGGAGGGAGAUCUUUGCAGCAUAGAACAACUUCUGAUGCAGAAGGCAGCGCUGUGCAGGCUGUGUGCCCGGAAGAACCAGGAAUUGCCCUCCAGCCUGUUCACGUGUGAGCAGCCUUGAGAGCUUUGAGAUGGAACAUCAGUGGAUUUGGACCUAUAGCCAGGAUGUUCAGUCUCUACUGGACAGGGACAGCCACUGAGAACUCUGACCUGAAGAGGAACAGUGAGAAGGUUUGGAUGUGACCUGCAGUGGGAUCAGAAGUUUCUGUUUGCGGAAACAGAAGUUUCUACAGCUGACGGUAGUCAAGGAGGAGAAGGAGAAGGAUCUGCAGCAUAAGUAGUGAGUUUGAGAUCAGCAGGCAUGUCAGUCUUGGUUCCAGGACGUCACCUGCGCCUGCCUGCUCUGCUGUGAAUCAUGAGCUGUCUUUCCAUCCCUGUUGAGAAGCUUGAUGGACGCCUAACCACAUUCAGAAGUGGACGGAAAAAAUGUUCAGCUGUAUCUUUACAUAAAUUGUAUGUAAAAUUUAUAUGUAAAAGCUUUGUAAAACUUGUUCAUGAGGGAGUAGAGAGAGUAGGUUGCUGUUCUACAUGAAUUUUCAGACCAAUGGAGUCAUUUUUCCAAAUGUUCUACUCUUCUUUGCUGCUCUACAAACAUCUGUGAUGCCUGUGACAGCUUUCAGAAUAUUUUUAUGUAUUUUAUUA